AUUGAACGCUGGCGGCAGGCCUAACACAUGCAAGUCGAGCGGAUGAAGGGAGCUUGCUCCUGGAUUCAGCGGCGGACGGGUGAGUAAUGCCUAGGAAUCUGCCUGGUAGUGGGGGAUAACGUCCGGAAACGGGCGCUAAUACCGCAUACGUCCUGAGGGAGAAAGUGGGGGAUCUUCGGACCUCACGCUAUCAGAUGAGCCUAGGUCGGAUUAGCUAGUUGGUGGGGUAAAGGCCUACCAAGGCGACGAUCCGUAACUGGUCUGAGAGGAUGAUCAGUCACACUGGAACUGAGACACGGGCCAGGACCCUACGGGAGGCAGCAGUGGGGAAUAUUGGACAAUGGGCGAAAGCCUGAUCCAGCCAUGCCGCGUGUGUGAAGAAGGUCUUCGGAUUGUAAAGCACUUUAAGUUGGGAGGAAGGGCAGUAAGUUAAUACCUUGCUGUUUUGACGUUACCAACAGAAUAAGCACCGGCUAACUUCGU
rnacentral:rRNA from 1 species